rnacentral:lncRNA from 1 species
AUUGUUUGCUUUUUGUUUAUGAUGGAAAUGCAGAUAACUUCUUGGGGUUUGAGGAGGUGGUCUUCUUAUUCCCUGGAGGAUGGUGAUAGGCCAUGGCGUGCUUAUUAUAGGAGGAAGAAGGGGUCAGCUGGAGGAGUGUUGGAUGAUAACCAGUUGGAAGAUUAGACGGAUGAGGAAUUGAGCUGACGUGGAAGUUUAUGGAGGGAACUUAUGAGGGUAUAAAUACUAAAGAGUGUUUACUGUUGUGAUUAUGCAAAUUGUAAUUGAGUACUUGCUUGACGUCAUGAGUCAGCAAAGGUCGCUAUGAGACCUAGAGUAUUAUAGUUACAUUUGUACUUGGUUUACAUAUUGAUAAAGAGGAAUUACGGUUGAGAUUCAUAACAAAUUGGUGCGUUCGUGAUACUGGAUCGAAAAUUCAUGGCGGCGUGGCGAGCUCGGAGAUUCCGAUCGAUUCGUCGAUGGCGAGAUUACAAGACGAUGUCGAGUUUUUGCGGAUUGGAUGCGAUAAACUGGCUCGCGCGAGUCGAGAUUCAACAGAUCGCUUCAAUUCAUUGGAGAAACAGAUCAUCAACAUUGGAUCGGAGUCGAAUCUGAAGAUCAGAGCUCUAGAACGACAAAUGGUGUUGAUCAGUAGUACGUUGGCUCGAAUCAAAGCUCAGGCGUUUGUUCCGCAGCGAAGCGGCAAAGAAAUCGCGUCUGAUUCUUUGGAUCGUGAUCCUCAGAUACCGAUCCUUCCUUCUGCACCGGGACAGUCUCAGGAACAGUUAGGUUAUCGCGGAAUUGGAAAUUCUUUAGCAAAUCGUGAUUCGAUGUUGAAGAAAGUGGAUAUGCCUGUGUUCUCUGGUAAGUUGCCUUUUGACUGGAUCUCGAGAGUAGAGCGUUUCUUCAGGAUUGGAAAUUACAAUGAGGAGGAGAAGCUUAACCUGGUGUCAUUGAGUUUAGAAGGUGCAGUGUUGAAUUGGUUUAAUGGUGAGGUGGUGAGCGAGCCUUUUACGAUCUGGCAUCAGUUCACGGAGAGACUCUUGGAUCGUUUUUCGGGGUCAAUUGACGAUGAACCAGCGGCACGCUUAUUCUGCCUUCAAUAAACAGGGAGAUCACUGAUUAUGUCAAUGAGUUUAAAGCCUUACGGAAUCAAGUGACAGGGAUUAGCGAGAGCAAUCUGAUCAAGGUGUUUUACAAUGGACUCAAGCCAGAGAUGAAAGAAGUGAUCCGUAUGAAAGAACCUCAAGGCUUAACAAAUCAUAAGUUAGCUGUGUUGAAGAUGCAAAGCACCAAUUUUUGUAAAGUGAUGGGGUCUGAGAGGCAAGGUGGAUAUCGUUCGAAUGCAAAUCAACACGCAACGGGCUUUCAGAAGAGAAGCGUGUUUGUUCCUGAUAAGACUGUUGCUGUUCAGAGUGAUAAAGCAUGUCAGGAUAAACCAGCUCUGCGACCGAGACAAUAUCAUACUGACGCUGAAUUAGACAAAAUGAGAAAGGAAGGAAUUUGUUUCAAGUGUAAAGGGAAAUGGUUUCGGGGUCAUCCUUGCAGUAGCCCUGAACUGCAGAUUAUGUUGGUAUCAAAUGGGUUAACGUUGGAGGUAUUGGAGGAGAGUAUGGUGGAAAUGAUCGAAUUGGAGGAUGAAGAGGUGCAUGCGGCUCCACACGAGUUGAUGACAUUGUCAUUCAAUGCUUUUAUGGGCCGUACUUCACCAACAACAACCAGAGUGCAUGGGAAAAUUGGGAAGAUGGAUGUGGUGAUGUUAUUGGAUAGUGGUGCUUCUCAUAACUUUGCAUCACCAUCUCUUAUGACUAAGUUGCAUAUUAUGUCAGCUGCAACACCAGAGUUGGAAAUCACAUUGGGCACUGGAGUUUCAGUGAAAGGAAUGGGAGUGUUUCAGUCUGUGCCCUUUGGAAUUGAGGAGUUGCGAUUAACUUCAGACUUUAUUGCGUUGGAGUUGGGCAAUAUUGAUCUGGUGCUUGGUGUUCAAUGGUUACGCACAUUGGGAAAGGGUUUAGUGGAUUGGGAGGAGCAAGUAUUUUUUUUUUGGCAUGAGGGCUCUUGGGUGACAAUACGAGGAGAUCGUUCUUUGCAUGACACCCCUACUCUGCAGAUGCUGCAUUGUUAUCGCUCACAUGCAGUUCUACUAUUAGUUGGAGAGUUUGCUAAUACAGAAGUGACGGUGGAAGAAACGAUUCCUGUAGAGCUCAAGGGGGUGCUUCAGAGGAAUGAACACAUCUUUGAUAUACCACAAGGGUUACCACCUGAGAGGGGUCACGAGCAUGCUAUUACGUUAUUGUCUAAUUGUGGUCCUGUCAGUGUGCGUCCUUACUGGUAUCCUCACGCUCAGAAGGAAGUCAUGGAGAAGAUGGUCAAGGAGAUGCUAGAAGCAGGUAUUAUCAGACCUAGCCGGAGUCCAUUUUCAAGCCUUGUUUUGCUUGUGAAGAAGAAGGACAAGUCUUUCAGGUUUUGUGUGGACUAUCGUGCAGUAAAUAAAGCCAUGGUAUCUGAUAAAUUUCCUAUUCCUCUCAUCGACCAGCUUUUGGAUGAGUUGCAUGGUGCAAAAGUUUUUUCAAAGCUUGACCUUCGUUCUGGCUACCACCAAAUCCGUAUGCGAGCGGAAGACAUUGAUAAAACAGCGUUUCGCACUAUGGAUGGUCACUACGAGUUUCUUGUUAUGCCAUUUGGUUUAAUGAAUGCACCAGCUACGUUUCAGGCGCUUAUGAAUGAGAUCUUCAGUCCAUUUCUGAGGCGUUUUGUUCUGGUAUUCUUUGAUGAUAUACUAGUUUACAGCGCGACAAUGGAGGAUCAUGCUAUUCAUCUUCAACAAGUUUUGGAGGUUCUUCAUCAACAAAAGCUUUUCGCCAACAGAAAAAAAUGUUCCUUUGGUCAGGAGUCCAUUGAGUAUUUAGGACACAUUAUUACAGCUAAAGGGGGUAGCUACAGACCCGAACAAGACCAAAGCAGUUGCUAAUUGGCCUCUUCCUAAAGUCAUUAAGGAACUGAGGGGUUUCUUGGGUCUCACGGGUUAUUACCGUCGGUUUGUUAAGGAUUACGGGACCAUUGCUCGACCGCUUACUGAGAUGCUGAAGAAAGAUCUUUUUGAUUGGUCUCCACGGGCACAUUCAGCGUUUGAGGCUUUGAAAUUGGCAAUGACUUCAGCGCCGGUUUUGGUAUUACCAGAUUUCAAUGAGCUGUUUGUCAUUGAAUCCGACGCCUCGGGGUAUGGACUAGGUGCUGUGUUGAUGCAGAACGAAAGACCGGUGGCUUAUUUUAGUCGCGGCCUUACUGCUCGUGAGCAACUAAAGCCUGUGUACGAGAGGGAAUUAAUGGCUAUAGUUCAAGCAGUGGUGAAAUGGAAGCAUUAUUUGAUGGGUAGAAGGUUUGUAGUGCGUACUGAUCAGAAGAGCUUAAAGUACUUAUUAGAGCAAAGGGAAGUGUCGAUGGAUUAUCAACGUUGGUUAUCAAAGUUAUUGGGGUAUGAUUUUGAUAUUAUGUACAAGCCGGGGGUUGAAAAUGCUGCAGCAGAUGGCUUGUCCCGGAUGUCGUUCUCUGCUACAUGCACUCAUUCUCAGGAGUUGUUAGCUUUGACAGUACCAGCGUCCUUGGAGGUUCAGAAAUUGUAUAAGGAGGUUGAAACUGAUCCGCAUAUUAACACUUUGCGAGAUCAGUUAUUAAAAGGAGAAUUGAAUAAACCGGGGUAUAGUAUGAAGAAUAAUCGUUUACAUUACAAAGGGAGGUUGCUGAUUCCGCGGUCCUCUGCUUUGAUUCCUACCAUCUUUCAUGAGUUUCACUCGAGUGUGAUUGGUGGUCAUGGUGGUGUUUUGCGUACUAAGAAGCGCAUUCAAGAAGUUUUUUAUUGGGAGCAGAUGUCAAAGGACAUUAAGAAGUUUGUGGGUGAAUGCAUGGUGUGUCAGACUCACAAGUAUACAACAUUGUGUCCUGCAGGAUUGCUUCAACCAUUACCCAUACCUGAGCGAGUGUGGGAGGACAUUUCAUUGGAUUUUGUUGAGGGUCUUCCAACUUCUUCAGGAAACAAUGUUAUAUUGGUGGUGGUGGAUCGCCUCAGCAAGUAUGGACAUUUCUUGGGGUUGAAACAUUCUUUUUCAGCCUCGGAUGUGGCUCAGUUGUUCGUGAAGGAGCUUGUGAAACUUCACGGAUUUCCACAGUCAAUUGUGUAUGACAGAGACCAUGUGUUUUUGAGUUCGUUUUGGCGCGAGUGUUUUCGUUUGGCAGGCACAAAAUUGAAGUUCAGUACUGCGUAUCAUCCGCAAACUGAUGGGCAAACAGAGGUACUGAAUCAAGGGUUGGAGACGUAUCUUCGUUGCUUUGUGUCUGCGCAUCCGAAGAAGUGGUUCUCGUAUUUGGCGUGGGCUGAGUACUCGUACAAUACAAGCUUUCACACCGAUAUCCAGUGUUCGCCUUUCAAGGUUAUGUAUGGUAGGGAUCCACCUCAUUUGUUGUCGUAUGAGCGUGGGUCUACUGGCAACUAUGAGUUGGAGAAGGCUUUGCUUGAGAGAGAUGCGUUGUUACGGGAUAUUAAAACUCAUCUGCUUCACGCUCAAUAGCUGAUGAAGAAUAAUGCGGAUAAGCACAGGAGGGAUUUGCAGUUUAAUGUGGGUGAUUUGGUGUUUCUUAAGCUCCGUCCGUACCGUCAGAAUUCAGUUACUAAGCGUUUGUGCAAGAAGCUUGCGGCACGGUACUAUGGGCCUUUUCGGGUUUGGGCGAAAGUGGGUAAUGCAGCGUAUCGUUUGGAGUUACCGGUGGAGUCUAAAAUUCAUCCUGUGUUCCAUGUUUCACAACUGAAGCAGGUGUUGGGGCAUGGUCAUGAGGUUAUGCCUUUACCAUCGGUAUUAUCAGCUGAAGAUGAGUUGGUGAUUGAGCCGGCGGAUGUGUUGGAUUCUCGUUAUGAUGGAGAGGGACAUUUGGAGAUUUUGAUUCAGUGGAAAGGAUUGCCUGAUCAUGAGUCGUCGUGGGUUCGUAUGCGUGAAGCUAUGAUGGAGUUUCCAGCUGCUAAGCUUGAGGACAAGCUGAAUCUUCGUUCGGGGGGUAUUGAUAGGCCGUGGCGUGCGUAUUAUAGGAGGAAGAAGAGGUCAGCUGGAGGAGUGUUGGAUGAUAACCAGUUGGAAGAUUAGACGGUUGAGGAAUUGAGCUGACGUGGAAGUUUAUGGAGGGAACUUAUGAAAGUAUAAAUACUAAAGAGUGUUUACUGUUGUGAUUAUGCAAAUUGUAAUUGAGUCCUUGCUUGACGUCAUGAGUCAGCAAAGGUCGCUAUGAGACCUAGAGUAUUAUAGUUACAU